rnacentral:misc_RNA from 1 species
GAUGAAGAAAGCAGCGAAAUGCGAUAAGUGAUGUGAAUUGCAGAAUUCAGUGAAUCAUCGAAUCUUUGAACGCACAUUGCGCCCGCCAGUAUUCUGGCGGGCAUGCCUGUUCGAUCGUCAUUUCAACCAUCAAGCCCCAGGCUUGUGUUGGGGACCUGCGGCUGCCGCAGGCCCUGAAAACCAGUGGCGGGCUCGCUGUCACACCGGGCGUAGUAGAUUUUAUCUCGCUCUGGGCGUGCUGCGGGUUCCGGCCGUUAAAAAACCCUUUUAACCCAAGGUUGACCUCGGAUCAGGUAGGAAUACCCGCUGAACUUAAGCAUAUCAAUAAGCGGAGGA